UUUUUUUUUUAAUGCGAUGCGGUUACUGCUUGAUUGCUUGCUUGUAGUUCUCAGUUGAAAAUUUUCUCAUUCUGUUAAUUGUUUGGAAGAUAUGGAUGAGUGAGUGAUUUAUUGCCCAUUGGUUGAAUUGGAUGGUUGUGUGACUGGCCUGUUUAGUGUCUUCCUUGAUGUGAGGGGAAUUGUGAUUAUGAGGAUUACUCAGCUUGCCGUCUAAUUUGUAGAAAUUUGUACAUGGUUUUGUGUUCACUGCCUUUCUUGCUUGUAUCUCUAGUUUGUGGAUAAUGAAGUAGAAAAUGAGCUGUAAUGAUGAUGAAAAUGGGCUUUUAGUUUGGUUGAUGCAUUUGGUUUCUGUUGUGAUUUAAGGCGUUUCGAGU
rnacentral:lncRNA from 1 species